UACGUAGGGCGCAAGCGUUAUCCGGAAUUAUUGGGCGUAAAGAGCUCGUAGGCGGUUUGUCGCGUCUGCCGUGAAAGUCCGGGGCUCAACUCCGGAUCUGCGGUGGGUACGGGCAGACUAGAGUGAUGUAGGGGAGACUGGAAUUCAUGGUGUAGCAGUGAAAUGCGUAGAGAUCAUGAGGAAGACCAGUGGCGAAGGCGGGUCUCGUGGACAGUUCCGUGACACUGAGGCACGAAGGCCAGGGAGCAAACGGG
rnacentral:rRNA from 1 species